rnacentral:rRNA from 1 species
UCAAGCGCGAGAAGGGCGUUUGGUGGAUGCCUUGGCAGUAAGAGGCGAUGAAGGACGUGAUACUCUGCGAUAAGCUUUGGGAAGUCGAGAAUAGACGCUAUACCCAAAGAUCUCCGAAUGGGGCAACCCAACUGAUACUUUGUUAUUGUUACACUUUGUGUAAUCAAUAAUGGGGUAAAACAGUUAUUAAUUACCUGAAUACAUAGGGUUUUUAAAGCAAACCUGGGGAACUGAAACAUCUAAGUACCCAGAGGAAAGGAAAUCAAUAGAUACUCCCGUAGUAGUGGCGAGCGAACCGGGACCAGCCGAGCAAUGAAUGUGACUAGAACCAGUUGGAAAGCUGGGCGAUAUGGGUGACAGCCCCGUAUAGGAAGCAUGAUUUGACGUAUUAAGUAGGGCGGAACACGUGAAAUUCUGUCUGAACAUGGGGGGACCACCCUCUAAGGCUAAGUACUCCUUACUGACCGAUAGCGAACCAGUACCGUGAGGGAAAGGUGAAAAGCACCCCGACGAGGGGAGUGAAACAGUUUCUGAAACCGGACGCCUACAAACAGUUGGAGCCUCUUUAUGGGGUGACAGCGUACCUUUUGUAUAAUGGGUCAACGACUUGGUCUUACUAGCAAGCUUAAGCCGAUAGGUGUAGGCGCAGCGAAAGCGAGUCUUAAUAGGGCGAAUGAGUUAGUAGGAUCAGACCCGAAACCGAGUGAUCUAGGCAUGAGCAGGUUGAAGGUAAGGUAACACUUACUGGAGGACCGAACCCACAUCUGUUGAAAAAGAUCGGGAUGACUUGUGCCUAGGGGUGAAAGGCCAAUCAAACUCGGAGAUAGCUGGUUCUCCGCGAAAUCUAUUUAGGUAGAGCGUCGCACGAAUACCUUGGGGGGUAGAGCACUGAAUGGGUAAUGGGGACUCACCGUCUUACUGAUCCUAAUCAAACUCCGAAUACCCAAGAGUAAUAUGCGGCAGACACACUGCGGAUGCUAACGUCCGUAGUGGAGAGGGAAACAACCCUGACCCUCAGCUAAGGCCCCUAAUUCAUGGCUAAGUGGGAAAGCAGGUGGGACGACCAAAACAACCAGGAAGUUGGCUUAGAAGCAGCCAUCUUUUAAAGAUAGCGUAACAGCUCACUGGUCUAAUUUAAGUUAUCCUGCGGCGAAGAUGUACCGGGGCUCAAGCCAUGAGCCGAAGCUAGGGAUGCAAUUUAUUGCAUGGUAGCGGAGCGUUCUGUGAUAUAGAACGCUGCGUCUUUAGUAUCUUAGGAUAUUUUGGACGCAAUGUUCUGACUGUGAAGCCGGCGCGUAAGCGAUCCGGUGGAGUGAUCAGAAGUGAGAAUGUUGACAUGAGUAGCGACAAACAGGGUGAGAGACCCUGUCGCCGAAAGUCCAAGGGUUCCUGCUUAAAGCUAAUCUGAGCAGGGUAAGCCGACCCCUAAGGCGAGGCCGAAAGGCGUAGUCGAUGGGAACCAGGUUAAUAUUCCUGGGCCAGGUGGUAGUGACGGAUCUCGAGGGUAGUUCAUCCUUAUUGGAUUGAAUGGGCUGCUUAGAGGUUCCUGGAAAUAGCUCCAUCGCUAGAUCGUACCCUAAACCGACACAGGUGGACUGGUAGAGAAUACCAAGGCGCUUGAGAGAACUACAUUGAAGGAACUCGGCAAAAUGCCUCCGUAAGUUCGCGAGAAGGAGGCCCCAUCAGAAGGCAACUUUUGGUGGGGGGCACAGACCAGGGGGUGGCGACUGUUUACUAAAAACACAGGGCUCUGCGAAGUCGUAAGACGACGUAUAGGGUCUGACGCCUGCCCGGUGCUGGAAGGUUAAGAGGAGGUGUGCAAGCACUGAAUUGAAGCCCCAGUAAACGGCGGCCGUAACUAUAACGGUCCUAAGGUAGCGAAAUUCCUUGUCGGGU